AACGUAGGAGACAAACGUUAUCCGGAGUUACUGGGCGUAAAGGGCGUGUAGGCGGUUUGUUAAGUCUAGCGUGAAAGCUCUCGGCUAAACCGGGAGAGGUCGUUGGAUACUGGCAAACUAGAGGACGGUAGAGGCGUGUGGAAUUCCGGGUGUAGUGGUGAAAUGCGUAGAGAUCCGGAGGAACACCAGUGGCGAAGGCGACACGCUGGGCCGUACCUGACGCUAAAGCGCGACAGCAUGGGGAGCAAACGGG
rnacentral:rRNA from 1 species